GUCGUAACAAGGUUUCCGUAGGUGAACCUGCGGAAGGAUCAAUUACACGAUUUGAUAUUUCAACCCAUGCAACUUACUGUUGGGGAGCAAUCCUCAUAUCGGGUCUAACCUUUUCUUUUUUAAAUCUCGAAUCUAAUCACAUCUAUAAAGUUUUCACAACUUUUAGCGAUGGAUGUCUCGGCUCGAACAACGAUGAAGGACGCCGCAAAAUGCGAUAAGCGUUGUGAAUGGCAGAAUUCCGCGAAUCAAAAGAAAGCUGAACGCAUACUGCACUCUCAGGAUCCCCCUGAGAGUAUGCUUGGUUCAGAACGUUUACACAUUCAUGUCACGAAAAAAGAUUUGCAUUGCGCAGUCGGUUUUCGUUGGCGUUCUCGUGUGUCAAUGACGAACUGUUCUCAGUGAUCCAUUGACGCAUCAGAUUCAGAAGCAAGUGCACAGUCAUUCCGCUGUCUGGCGAACUUCGGUACUAUGUCAGCGUUUGGUUGCGCGCGUGGAAUUGCUCUUUAAAAGCUAUUUGCUCUCUAUUUGCGUAUGAACUCAAGCAAGGCUACCCGCUGAAUUUAAGCAUAUAAGUAAGCGGAGGAAAAGAAAAUGAAUAUGAUUCCGUUAGUAAGGGCGACUGAACCCGGAAAAGCUCAAAAUGCUAAUCGGGCACUUGUGUCUGAAUUGUAGUCUUGAGAUUCUUAUCCAGCUCGAUCUCCUGCGUAAGUCUUUUUGGAAGAAAGCAUCAAAGAGGGUGAGAAUCCCGUUCACGUGGAGAGGUUUGGGCAUACGGAGGGACUUCGUAGAGUCGCGUACUUUGGACGUGGUGCGCUAAUGGGAGGUAAUUUUCUUCCAAAGCUAAAUAUUGGUUCGAGACCGAUAGCAAACAAGUACCGUGAGGGAAAGAUGAAAAGUACUUUGGGAAGAGGGUUAAAAGUGCCUGAAAUCGCUAAGAGGGAAGCGAAUGAAACCAGUUUCUUUUUGUGAGAUUGUUGUAGACUAAGGUGAAUAUCUGUACCGCAAGGGCAGUGAUUUGAUCUGGACGUCUGCAGUGUUUCUCGUGAGAAGUCGCCAUCGUGUUUUGGGUGUUCGGAUAAUAUCUCGUUACAUUAUAGGUCCGCUCCUGUGUUCCAUAGUGUCUCGAUGAGCUCCCUACCCCGAUACAGGAAAGCGGCCGGUUUUCAGUGCGCCGUAAGCUGAUUGAAGGUUUGGCAGACUCCCAGAGUGUGUCUUUCUGAUGUUAGAUGAGGUGUAAUAUUGCUGGUCUAUGACGAUGGCUAAAUGGUUUUAUUCUACCCGUCUUGAAACACGGACCAAGGAGUCGACCUCUAUCGCGAGUGUGCGGGUGGCAAACCUGUACGCGGAAUGAAAGUAACAGUUUGGAUUUUUUUGUUUUGCACAAACGACCGACUUCGAUCUAUUGAGAGAGGUUUGAGUAUGAGCGAUAAGGGUCGGACCCGAAAGAUGGUGAACUAUGCGUGA
rnacentral:rRNA from 1 species